AGCGUACACGGUGGAUGCCCUGGCAGUCAGAGGCGAUGAAGGACGUGCUAAUCUGCGAUAAGCGUCGGUAAGGUGAUAUGAACCGUUAUAACCGGCGAUUUCCGAAUGGGGAAACCCAGUGUGAUUCGUCACACUAUCAUUAACUGAAUCCAUAGGUUAAUGAGGCGAACCGGGGGAACUGAAACAUCUAAGUACCCCGAGGAAAAGAAAUCAACCGAGAUUCCCCCAGUAGCGGCGAGCGAACGGGGAGCAGCCCAGAGCCUGAAUCAGUGUGUGUGUUAGUGGAAGCGUCUGGAAAGGCGCGCGAUACAGGGUGACAGCCCCGUACACAAAAAUGCACAUGCUGUGAGCUCGAUGAGUAGGGCGGGACACGUGGUAUCCUGUCUGAAUAUGGGGGGACCAUCCUCCAAGGCUAAAUACUCCUGACUGACCGAUAGUGAACCAGUACCGUGAGGGAAAGGCGAAAAGAACCCCGGCGAGGGGAGUGAAAAAGAACCUGAAACCGUGUACGUACAAGCAGUGGGAGCCUCUUUAUGGGGUGACUGCGUACCUUUUGUAUAAUGGGUCAGCGACUUAUAUUCUGUAGCAAGGUUAACCGAAUAGGGGAGCCGAAGGGAAACCGAGUCUUAACUGGGCGUUAAGUUGCAGGGUAUAGACCCGAAACCCGGUGAUCUAGCCAUGGGCAGGUUGAAGGUUGGGUAACACUAACUGGAGGACCGAACCGACUAAUGUUGAAAAAUUAGCGGAUGACUUGUGGCUGGGGGUGAAAGGCCAAUCAAACCGGGAGAUAGCUGGUUCUCCCCGAAAGCUAUUUAGGUAGCGCCUCGUGAAUUCAUCUCCGGGGGUAGAGCACUGUUUCGGCAAGGGGGUCAUCCCGACUUACCAACCCGAUGCAAACUGCGAAUACCGGAGAAUGUUAUCACGGGAGACACACGGCGGGUGCUAACGUCCGUCGUGAAGAGGGAAACAACCCAGACCGCCAGCUAAGGUCCCAAAGUCAUGGUUAAGUGGGAAACGAUGUGGGAAGGCCCAGACAGCCAGGAUGUUGGCUUAGAAGCAGCCAUCAUUUAAAGAAAGCGUAAUAGCUCACUGGUCGAGUCGGCCUGCGCGGAAGAUGUAACGGGGCUAAACCAUGCACCGAAGCUGCGGCAGCGACGCUUAUGCGUUGUUGGGUAGGGGAGCGUUCUGUAAGCCUGCGAAGGUGUGCUGUGAGGCAUGCUGGAGGUAUCAGAAGUGCGAAUGCUGACAUAAGUAACGAUAAAGCGGGUGAAAAGCCCGCUCGCCGGAAGACCAAGGGUUCCUGUCCAACGUUAAUCGGGGCAGGGUGAGUCGACCCCUAAGGCGAGGCCGAAAGGCGUAGUCGAUGGGAAACAGGUUAAUAUUCCUGUACUUGGUGUUACUGCGAAGGGGGGACGGAGAAGGCUAUGUUGGCCGGGCGACGGUUGUCCCGGUUUAAGCGUGUAGGCUGGUUUUCCAGGCAAAUCCGGAAAAUCAAGGCUGAGGCGUGAUGACGAGGCACUACGGUGCUGAAGCAACAAAUGCCCUGCUUCCAGGAAAAGCCUCUAAGCAUCAGGUAACAUCAAAUCGUACCCCAAACCGACACAGGUGGUCAGGUAGAGAAUACCAAGGCGCUUGAGAGAACUCGGGUGAAGGAACUAGGCAAAAUGGUGCCGUAACUUCGGGAGAAGGCACGCUGAUAUGUAGGUGAAGUCCCUCGCGGAUGGAGCUGAAAUCAGUCGAAGAUACCAGCUGGCUGCAACUGUUUAUUAAAAACACAGCACUGUGCAAACACGAAAGUGGACGUAUACGGUGUGACGCCUGCCCGGUGCCGGAAGGUUAAUUGAUGGGGUCAGCGCAAGCGAAGCUCUUGAUCGAAGCCCCGGUAAACGGCGGCCGUAACUAUAACGGUCCUAAGGUAGCGAAAUUCCUUGUCGGGUAAGUUCCGACCUGCACGAAUGGCGUAAUGAUGGCCAGGCUGUCUCCACCCGAGACUCAGUGAAAUUGAACUCGCUGUGAAGAUGCAGUGUACCCGCGGCAAGACGGAAAGACCCCGUGAACCUUUACUAUAGCUUGACACUGAACAUUGAGCCUUGAUGUGUAGGAUAGGUGGGAGGCUUUGAAGUGUGGACGCCAGUCUGCAUGGAGCCGACCUUGAAAUACCACCCUUUAAUGUUUGAUGUUCUAACGUUGACCCGUAAUCCGGGUUGCGGACAGUGUCUGGUGGGUAGUUUGACUGGGGCGGUCUCCUCCUAAAGAGUAACGGAGGAGCACGAAGGUUGGCUAAUCCUGGUCGGACAUCAGGAGGUUAGUGCAAUGGCAUAAGCCAGCUUGACUGCGAGCGUGACGGCGCGAGCAGGUGCGAAAGCAGGUCAUAGUGAUCCGGUGGUUCUGAAUGGAAGGGCCAUCGCUCAACGGAUAAAAGGUACUCCGGGGAUAACAGGCUGAUACCGCCCAAGAGUUCAUAUCGACGGCGGUGUUUGGCACCUCGAUGUCGGCUCAUCACAUCCUGGGGCUGAAGUAGGUCCCAAGGGUAUGGCUGUUCGCCAUUUAAAGUGGUACGCGAGCUGGGUUUAGAACGUCGUGAGACAGUUCGGUCCCUAUCUGCCGUGGGCGCUGGAGAACUGAGGGGGGCUGCUCCUAGUACGAGAGGACCGGAGUGGACGCAUCACUGGUGUUCGGGUUGUCAUGCCAAUGGCACUGCCCGGUAGCUAAAUGCGGAAGAGAUAAGUGCUGAAAGCAUCUAAGCACGAAACUUGCCCCGAGAUGAGUUCUCCCUGACUCCUUGA
rnacentral:rRNA from 1 species